rnacentral:rRNA from 1 species
CCUACGGGUGGCAGCAGUGAGGAAUAUUGGUCAAUGGUCGGGAGACUGAACCAGCCAAGCCGCGUGAGGGAUGAAGGUACAGAGUAUCGUAAACCUCUUUUGUCAGGGAACAAAGGCGGGGACGUGUCCCCGGAUGAGUGUACCUGAAGAAAAAGCAUCGGCUAACUCCGUGCAAGCAGCCGCGGUAAUACGGAGGAUGCGGGCGUUAUCCGGUUUUAUGGGGUUUAAGGGGUGCGCAGGCGGUCUGUUAAGUCAGCGGUGAAAGCCCGGGGCUCAACCCCGGCCCGCCGUUGAAACUGGCAGUCUCGAGUUGGAGAGAAGUAUGCGGAAUGCGCGGUGUAGCGGUGAAAUGCAUAGAUAUCGCGCAGAACUCCGAUUGCGAAGGCAGCAUGCCGGCUCCACACUGACGCUGAGGCACGAAAGCGUGGGUAUCGAACAGGAUUAGAUACCCGAGUAGUC